rnacentral:rRNA from 2 species
UAGUGGCAGACGGGUGAGUAAUGUAUAGGAAUCUACCUAGUAGUACGGAAUAAUUGUUGGAAACGGCAACUAAUACCGUAUACGCCCUACGGGGGAAAAAUUUAUUGCUAUUAGAUGAGCCUAUAUUAGAUUAGCUAGUUGGUGGAGUAAUAGCCUACCAAGGCAAUGAUCUAUAGCUGAUCUGAGAGGAUGAUCAGCCACACUGGAACUGAGAUACGGUCCAGACUCCUACGGGAGGCAGCAGUGGGGAAUAUUGGACAAUGGGCGAAAGCCUGAUCCAGCCAUGCCGCAUGAGUGAAGAAGGCCUUUGGGUUGUAAAGCUCUUUUAGUGAGGAAGAUAAUGACGGUACUCACAGAAGAAGUCCUGGCUAACUCCGUGCCAGCAGCCGCGGUAAUACGGAGAGGGCUAGCGUUAUUCGGAAUUAUUGGGCGUAAAGGGCGCGUAGGCUGGUUAAUAAGUUAAAAGUGAAAUCCCGAGGCUUAACCUUGGAAUUGCUUUUAAAACUAUUAAUCUAGAGAUUGAAAGAGGAUAGAGGAAUUCCUGAUGUAGAGGUAAAAUUCGUAAAUAUUAGGAGGAACACCAGUGGCGAAGGCGUCUAUCUGGUUCAAAUCUGACGCUGAAGCGCGAAGGCGUGGGGAGCAAACAGGAUUAGAUACCCUGGUAGUCCACGCUGUAAACGAUGAAUGUUAAAUAUGGGGAGUUUACUUUCUGUAUUACAGCUAACGCGUUAAACAUUCCGCCUGGGGACUACGGUCGCAAGAUUAAAACUCAAAGGAAUUGACGGGGACCCGCACAAGCGGUGGAGCAUGUGGUUUAAUUCGAUGCAACGCGAAAAACCUUACCACUCCUUG